UACUGAUGGUUGAUACAUUGAUCUCUAAAUAGGUCCUGUAGAAUCAUUUGAUUACAAGGAUGAAAUAGCACAAGGAUCAUGUACAUCAAUUAUCCCGGACACACAACCUGACCAUGUAUAUGCUGUUAGACGGACUUGUCCGUCGGCUGAAACUUGCGAGGCAGUAUGCAAAAAUGUGGGGAAAAUAUGUUACAAUGCCUUACACGUGUACUCUGGAACAAUUCUCGCGGCUGGUGAUACGGGGAAAGCAGGACUCCGUUCGUAUAAAUAUAACAGUUGUACAGGGACAGGUUGUGGGCCCAACUUUUGCUGUUGUGCAAACAACAAACACACUACUCCAAACCCGUUAGCCUACAAGGACGAGAUUGCACAGUCCACGUGCACCGCCAUUUUACCCGGAAAGCCGUCUCACGUGUAUGCUGUAAGACGAACUUGUUCCGCCUCGACAGCCACGUGUACAGCUAUCUGUGCCAACUUAACUAAAAAAUGUUUCAAUGCCUUGCACGUGUAUACUGCUGCAUCACUAAGCAACACGGACACGGGGAAGUUAGGGCUGCAUACAUACAGAUACAACAACUGUGACCUCGGUGGAUGUGGACCAAACUUUUGUUGCUGCUCAGGCUGAGAAAUGAUUCUUGCAAAAGACACACAAUUUCUUGGAAGAUUAAAUGAGCCGUGUCACGACAAAACCAACAUAAUGGGUUUGCGACCAGCAUGGAUCCAGACCAGCCUUGGCAUCCGCGCAGUCUGAUCAGGAUCCAUGCUGUUCGCUUACAAACCCUAUUACAAGUAGAGAAACUGAUAGCGAACAGCAUGGAUCCUGAUCAGACUGCGCGGAUUAUGUUGGUUUUGUCAUGACACGGCUCAAAUUUCUUUAAUUUACGAGUCAUCCAAUCAUCUGCUUAUUUCUUUACAUGUAAAUGCGUAGCGUUAUUUAGAGCUGAUUUUAAUCAAAUUGCAAGUCACUUAACUAUGAAACAUCGUCUGUCAUCAAAGAGUUUUAAAAUGCUACUUAAGAACACACAGUGAAAGGAUGAAAUAAAAUAUUAUCUGUUUAAAAUAACCUCGACCUUCACCUUUAGCAUGACACCAAAGGUCUCCUGUAUAACAGGUUAUAUACUAAUACGUUAUGAUUUCGAGAUAGCAUUUGGGAUGACAACACUGCGCUUAUGUAGAAUACAUGUUUUUUUCUAAUCUUUUAUUAAAUAUCAGCCCCACUUACAUAAAUUAUUAUUGUCAUAAUUUUUUGUUUAAGGGUUACCUUUAUCAUGUUUACUUUUGAAAGGUGUGAGUCUGUUUAUAAAUCAGCAGACACAAGAUUCUGGUACACACCUUUUCAUUUUCACUAUUGUAACUUUGUAAAGGUGAAUUUCAUUGGAUAUAACAUUUGUAUACACUGCUACAGAAACUGCAAAUUCAUUAUUUUCUUUUUAUACUCAAACAAAUAAAUUGUGCAGCAAUAA